CUGGCUCAGGACGAACGCUGGCGGCGUGCCUAAUACAUGCAAGUCGAGCGGACUUCUGGGAGCUUGCUCCCGGAAGUCAGCGGCGGACGGGUGAGUAACACGUGGGCAACCUGCCUGUAAGACUGGGAUAACUUCGGGAAACCGGAGCUAAUACCGGAUAAUUCUUUCCCUCACAUGAGGG
rnacentral:rRNA from 1 species